UACGUAGGGGGCAAGCGUUGUCCGGAUUUAUUGGGCGUAAAGAGCGUGUAGGCGGCCAGGUAGGUCCGCUGUGAAAACUCGAGGCUCAACCUCGAGACGCCGAUGGAAACCAUCUGGCUAGAGUCCGGAAGAGGAGAGUGGAAUUCCUGGUGUAGCGGUGAAAUGCGCAGAUAUCAGGAAGAACACCCGUGGCUAAGGCGGCUCUCUAGUACGGUACUGACGCUGAGACGCGAAAGCGUGGGGAGCGAACAGG
rnacentral:rRNA from 1 species